GAUGAACGCUGGCGGCGUGCCUAAUACAUGCAAGUCGAGCGAACAGACGAGGAGCUUGCUCCUCUGACGUUAGCGGCGGACGGGUGAGUAACACGUGGAUAACCUACCUAUAAGACUGGGAUAACUUCGGGAAACCGGAGCUAAUACCGGAUAAUAUAUUGAACCGCAUGGUUCAAUAGUGAAAGACGGUUUUGCUGUCACUUAUAGAUGGAUCCGCGCCGCAUUAGCUAGUUGGUAAGGUAACGGCUUACCAAGGCAACGAUGCGUAGCCGACCUGAGAGGGUGACCGGCCACACUGGAACUGAGACACGGUCCAGACUCCUACGGGAGGCAGCAGUAGGGAAUCUUCCGCGAUGGGCGAAAGCCUGACGGAGCAACGCCGCGUGAGUGAUGAAGGUCUUCGGAUCGUAAAACUCUGUUAUUAGGGAAGAACAAAUGUGUAAGUAACUAUGCACGUCUUGACGGUACCUAAUCAGAAAGCCACGGCUAACUACGUG
rnacentral:rRNA from 1 species